CUUCAUCAGUUCCUCACUCAUGUUCUCUUUGUAAACCGUAGUCCCGCCACUCUAAAUCCCUCCACCAGCUCCACUGGUGGCGGGGCCCAAUAUACCCCAAGUACCUACAAUACAACCAUUACCUACCCCUGAUUCCUAAUCUAUCACCACAUCUCCCAAAAUCUUUGCCAAAACCGGAAACUUUAGAUCUAAAAAAAAAGAGAAAUCUUCUAAUUCUUCAAGUUUCCAAGAGCGAUUGAGCCUGAAAUUUGUAAUGAUUGUCUGUUCUCGGUGAGUAUAUGCGAUUAAUACCAAUUUUGGUUAUAAUUAGAGAACACCGGAAGUCUGUCCAAGCCUACUGUCCGUCUACCUAAGUUAGGUAUUUCCAUUCAUUUUUUUCUUCUUUCUUUUUCGCCUUUUGUUUUAUUCCCAUCUCCUUCUGACUCUUUCUUUCUCUUUCCUGCUUUUCUGUUUUAAAUCGUUUCUGUUUGCAUGUUAAUACUAAGCCAUAUUAGUUUAUAGUUUGAGUUUAAUAAUACGAUUAAUAUGUUAUUGGUUUUUGAUUUUGUGGUUGAUUUUUACCAAUUCUCUUUUUGUUUUGUUUUGUGGGAAUUCUGAUAUUAGGAGUUAUCAUCUUUAGUUGUUUCUCCAAUUCUGUGCAUAAUUUCUUAAUUGCUUGGCCAGCAAUUGAGUUCUGUUGACUAUCUAUGCUAUGCUUAGGAAAUCCGUGUUUAGAUUAAAGUAGAAUUAGAGAGAGUUUGUUUCUGAACCCAUGGCUCGAGGAAAGAUUUCGCAGUUAAUAUAGUAUAUACCUAACAGUGUUGCUUAGUUGAAUACGAUAUUAUAUUCAUUCAUGACAGAUUCAAGACCAUUGGUAUAUAGGGUUUAAAUUAUGGAUAGACGGAUAGUAUUGCGGGGACAUACAAUUUAUAUAAAUGAUCAGGUCAACUAGAAAUCAUAAAUAAUUUAGAUUCAAAUAUGUACAUACAAACUCAAUAGGAUUGAUAAACCAACCAUAACCCUGGACGUUAUAUCUCCCUUGGUGAUGUGUUUAAUUUUCGCAAUACUAGUUUGUCCGCAAACCUUGACUCUCCUCCCAUCUCCCUCAGUCUUAUUUAUUCAGUUUUAGUUUUUCUUUCAUAGUAUUGCAAACUUGUGUUGUAUAAAUGCUCAUGUACUCACUGACACCCUGGUUUUAGAAAAAUUUAUGUAUUAAAUUAUAUCAUUUUAUCCAAUUUUAUAAGAAUUUGACUUAUUAAAAACCUGAUUUAGUAAAUUUUAAAUUUGAAAGUGUUGGUAAUUUCCGAGGUGUCGGCUUGCCUAGAACCAUGAUAGGUGCCAUUAGGAUAGGUUGCAUUUUGGGUCAUGAUAAUUUGAUAUCAAAUCCUAGGUUACCUAGGUCUCACGAGUCUUAAGUAGGUUUAGUAGAGUUAUACAGAUCGAUACAGAGAUGUGUGUACUUAUCUUUGAGGGCUACCGAUCCCUUAGGAAAACUUCACAUUCUUUUAUUAUUGACAUGCAGAUUUGUUAAUUGUGGGAACUAAACUUCUAUUAUUCUACUCUUUUAGAGGUGGUGAAUCCAUGUGCUACCGAAUUGGACGGACAACCACCAGUAUCACCAGCUAAGACCACGAGAAGGGUUGCGGUAGGCACCGUAAUUGGGGCAGAGGUGCAACUCAUCAACACCUUGAGAAGGACCUUUAGAUUCACCAAGUGAUCCGUCUUAGGAGCAGGUACCAGAUAUAGUUGAGCCAUUGGGUCCAGCUUAGGCAUUUCUUGUUCCCAUUGUGAUUCCAGAACUUUAGGAGGCUUUGGCUCAGAUUUUGACUAUGCGCCCUAGCCUUGCUCAAGCUAUAUGGUUGCAAAGUAUUUUGUGCAGACCGCAUUGAGGUUAUUGUGGAUGCACUCAAUUUCGUGCAGUUUGCAAAGCCAAAGAUCGGAGAGUUUCCAAGUUGGAGGAUGAUGCGUAAUACGGUUCGCAGUCCAUUUUGUGUGGACCGCAAUAGAAGCCACUGCGGCGGCGGUGCAUUUUGUGUGGUCCGUGGUGGACAACUUUAGAGAGCAAAUUAGUCAGCCAAGAGACUUAGUGCGGCCGCGCUCAAUUUUGUGCAGACCACACGAGCCCCGCAGGGGUGUUUUUGUCCAGAAUUUUCAACCUAGUAUAUAUAUUUUCUUUUCCCAUUUUUAGGUCAUCAGUUGUAUUUGGACGAAGAGUUGCGCUUGUGAAUAGUUCUCUUUUACCAUUUUGAGUAAUUUUAGCUUAAUUUCAUCAUUGAAUCUUCAAGUUUU
rnacentral:lncRNA from 1 species